UUCCUGGGUUGUUUAAGGUUAGGUAGGGGAUCGUUCCUGGGUUGUUUAAGGUUAGGUAGGGGAUUGUUCCUGGGUUGUUUAAGGUUAGGUAGGGGAUCGUUCCUGGGUUGUUUCAGGUUAGGUCGGGGAUCGUUCCUGGGUUGUUUCAGGUUAGGUAGGGGAUCGUUCCUGGGUUGUUUCAGGUUAGGUAGGGGAUCGUUCCUGGGUUGUUUCAGGUUAGGUAGGGGAUCGUUCCUGGGUUGUUUCAGGUUAGGUAGGGGAUCGUUCCUGGGUUGUUUCAGGUUAGGUAGGGGAUCGUUCCCGGGUUGUUUCAGGUCAGGUACGGGAUCGUUCCUGGGUUGUUUCAGGUCAGGUAGGGAAUCGUUCCUGGGUUGUUUCAGGUUAGGAUCGUUCCUGGGUUGUUUCAGGUUAGGUAGGGUAUCGUUCCUGGGUUGCUUCAGGUUAGGUAGGGUAUCGUUCCUGGGUUGCUUCAGGUUAGGUAGGGGAUCGUUCCUGGGUGGUUUCAGGUUAGGUAGGGGAUCGUUCCUGGGUUGUUUCAGGUUAGGAUCGUUCCUGAGUUGUUUCAGGUUAGGUAGGGGAUCGUUCCUGGGUUGUUUCAGGUUAGGAUCGUUCCUGGGUUGUUUCAG